GGGUGCAGCAGGCGCGAAACCUUUACAAUGCACGAAAGUGUGAUAGGGGGAUACUCAGUGCUUACGGUUAUGCUGUAGGCUUUUGUCGAUCGUAAAUAGAUCGGCGAAUAAGUGGUGGGUAAGACUGGUGCCAGCCGCCGCGGUAACCCCAGCGCCACAAGUGGUCAUCGCGAUUAUUGGGCCUAAAGCGUUCGUAGCCGGUUUGGUGCAUCUCUUGUGAAAUUGUUCGGCUUAACCGGACAGCGUGCAGGAGACACGGCCAAACUCGAGACCGGGAGGCGUAAGAAGUAUGUCAUGGGGACUGGUAAAAUGGGAUAAUCCAUGAUAGACUACCGAUGGCGAAGGCAUCUUACGAGAACGGAUCUGACGGUGAGGAACGAAAGCCAGGGGAGCGAACCGGAUUAGAUACCCGAGUAGUCCUGGCCGUAAACGCUGUGUGCUAGGUGCUGCGUAUCUCAUGAAGAUGCGCGGUGUCGAAACGAAGGUGCUAAGCACACCGCCUGGGAAGUACGGUCGCAAGACUGAAACUUUAAGGAAUUGGCGGGGGAGCACAAGGGCGAAUCGCG
rnacentral:rRNA from 1 species